UGCUUUUGAUGUUGGACAAAGAUUGUGGA
rnacentral:piRNA from 1 species